GUGCUCCCUUCGCUUUUGCCAGCCCUCUUUGAAAAAGCUGCUGGUUGCAGACACUGUCAUGUGUGCAUGGUCAGAGCAGCAGUCACAGAGCAUCCCUCCGCAGAGAGGAGCGAGUCAAGUUCAGCUCUCCCAGCAACCAGCUACAACCAAACCCAGCAGCUAAGGAAGCGGUUUCAAGUAAAUUAAGCUCUUGUAAUGUGAACCAGGUGCCUUAGUGAGCAACAGAUGAGAACCCACCAAAGAGCACUCCGCUCACACAGAAGCGAGACAGCGGGACAGGUUGCACUUCCCCAGCUGCAAUCAAAGUCUUGAUCAAAUAAGACAUCAGGUGCAAUGACAAGACUUUGCUUCUUAAGGAAAGCUUCGUAAGUUCCACUGCUAAAAGCAGUCAUUUUUUUUAAUUAUUUUUUUUAAUGCAGUAACUUCAUUACAUUAUUAAAAAAAUCUUUUAAAAGCCUCCUGUUUUACAGCUGCUUAGGAUUCACAUCUACUAACUUAAGUAACAUGAGUAUGUUGGUUUCAGGACUACUCUGGCACUUAGCACAACUAAAAAAGCUGGCACUCUCUUGGGUUUACUUAAAGUGGGUUUGGUGACCUAUAGAUUUUUUUGACUUUGUCCUUCAAAAAGUAAGGAUUCUCAUUCUUCCUGGGAACACUCUUUUCCCUAUACUUCUGAAAAGAUUCUAAAGAUCAACUUUUCAAAGAUACUUUUGCUGUCUAUGCAUGUAUUAGACACAAACCCAACAUUAUCUGAGCAGCAGUUUACUGAUUUGAAACUGGAUAUAAAAUGUCACUGUAAUACAGAUUAGUUUUCAAUUAACUCUGUUCUUUUCGGUUUAUCUUUUCCUGCCUUGUUUUCAAAAACGUUAUUUUUCUUUUUCUUGCUAUAAGACAAAGGAUUGAAAAUACAGGUUUUGGAAGAGGUAUUUCUGUAGCUGUGUAAGACCACAACCUGUAAGGACACAUGGCAGUCUGUGACACCUUUUGUGUUUCAUGUGAGAAAUUACUGAAAAGAGAAUCAAAGUAAGUCUAUUCAAAUAAAGAUGUUAACUAGAAACCUACAAGAGGAUUAUGUUCCUCACAAAAAUUGAUAUAGUUAGUUCUGAGAACAUAUAAAAGCCUUGAUUUUAUUAUGUUUUGAUUAUAUAUGGUAAAAAGUAAUAAGCAGAAGGUAAAGGAGGUAUUCUCUUCAUAAAGGGUAUGCUCCUUAAAGGUCAACAGAAAUCUAAACCAUAGAAAAGAGCCUCUAAAAGGUAAUGAUUUUCUUACUCAAUAGCUGACGUGUUCUACUAGCUCACAAGCAACUGGUCAGAAGCAGAUUCCAGAUGCAUUUCCCAGUGUAAGACAAACCUGACUUUGAAAAGCAGGACCUUUGCAGUCUUCAAGCAAAGCACAAGACAAAACCAAACCAAACCACAACAGAUAUCCCAGGAGUUUACCUGUAGAGUCUCAAAAGUUCUGUGAAGAGCCUGCUCUCUUUGUUCAAAGCUCCCCUGGAUCAUCUCCCUAAAAGGAUCCAGGGUUUUGGAGGGUCCUAAACUGAAGAGAAAUAAACUAUGUCAUGCACUUGCGAAAAAACGGCACCCCAGGAGAACGAAAAAUGACUGUUGUCUGCAAGACACAUGAAGUAAUCCUGCCACUCUGCACGGUGCUGAUAAAGCCUCCACUCACACGCGCUGCGUCCAGCUCAGACACUGCAUGUCAGCAAGCAUGGAGCAGAUGCAGAGAAGCCAGUACACAGCCAAUGGUACUACGAGAGCAGUGAGGAAACAAGGCAAGACUCGGGGAGAAAUGUAGCAUGUUAAGGCUUUCACAUGCUCUCCAAGUCCAUUGGGCUGGGACUAGAAGAUAACGAUGACUAAAAUCCAGGUUAGAUAUCAGGGAAAGCUUUCCGUUUUGGAUAGGGAGGCAGUGGAGCAGGUGCCCAAAGACUGAAAGACACUCUGUCACUGGGCACCUGUAGAGAAACACCAACCAGGACUGACAGUCAUAAUCAAAUCCUGCCAUCAGGCACAGAUAAUUAGAGAUAAAUUAGGUGACCUCCUAAGAUCUGGCCAGCCCAUACGUUUUUGAAUAAACAGCUAAUUACUGGGCAGAGAGCUCUGACAUCUACAUUGAAACGUUUCUCUAGAAAGGAGAUAAUUUCUAAAGGUGAAGCAGGAGUUUAACAGGCAACAGCAGUCACACACACACACAAAAAAAAAAGGGUAAGAAAAAGCUAUGUUCUUACACAGCCUGACUACAUCAUUGUAGAGCUCAUAUGCGCUUUUGGAACAGGUCAUUAAAAAAGCCCAACACAUCCUUUUUGCUCAUAAGCAUACUUCUGUCUGCAGCGAGGUGCUGAUUUGGUAGGUACUUAAAAGGCUACAUAGGUCUGGUUUCUUCCCAAUAACCAAGAAACCUGUAGCACUCCGCCAAGACCAAGAUUUAUUCAGGCUUCAAAGGGAUCCACACUCCCGGUAACUAGAACUUGGGCGAGCGCCUCCUCCAGGCUCCGCUGCUUCCAACCCUGCUGAGAUGCCUCCUGGCAGGAGCAGUACGGUGAGAGCAAGGUGAGCUGUGGUCCAUGAGCCCUGGGAUCUGGGAUGGGCGGGCAGGCCACGGCAGCCACAUUUCAGCACUUGCACUGUGGAACUACACUUGUGAGGGGGAGGACUGACACA